rnacentral:tRNA from 1 species
CGGGAAAAUAGCUCAGCUUGGUAGAGCACCUGGUUGGGACCAGGGGUCGCAGUUCGAAUCCUGUUUCCCGA